rnacentral:rRNA from 1 species
GACGAACGCUGGCGGCGUGCUUAACACAUGCAAGUCGAACGGAAAGGCCCUGCUUUUGUGUGGUGCUCGAGUGGCGAACGGGUGAGUAACACGUGAGUAACCUGCCCUUGACUUUGGGAUAACUUCAGGAAACUGGGGCUAAUACCGGAUAGGAGCUCCUGCUGCAUGGUGGGGGUUGGAAAGUUUCGGCGGUUGGGGAUGGACUCGGGGCUUAUCAGCUUGUUGGUGGGGUAGUGGCUUACCAAGGCUUUGACGGGUAGCCGGCCUGAGAGGGUGACCGGGCACAUUGGGACUGAGAUACGGACCAGACUCGUACGGGAGGCAGCAGUGGGGAAUAUUGCACAGUGGGCGGAAGUCUGAUGCAGCAACGCCGCGUGCGGGAUGACGGCCUUCGGGUUGUAAACCGCUUUCGCCUGUGACGAAGCGUGAGUGACGGUAAUGGGUAAAGAAGCACCGGCUAACUACGUG